rnacentral:rRNA from 1 species
UGGGGAAUUUUGGACAAUGGGCGAAAGCCUGAUCCAGCAAUGCCGCGUGUGUGAAGAAGGCCUUCGGGUUGUAAAGCACUUUUGUCCGGAAAGAAAUCCUUGGCUCUAAUACAGUCGGGGGGAUGACGGUACCGGAAGAAUAAGCACCGGCUAACUACGUGCCAGCAGCCGCGGUAAUACGUAGGGUGCAAGCGUUAAUCGGAAUUACUGGGCGUAAAGCGUGCGCAGGCGGUUUGCUAAGACCGAUGUGAAAUCCCCGGGCUCAACCUGGGAACUACAUUGGUGACUGGCAGGCUAGAGUAUGGCAGAGGGGGGUAGAAUUCCACUGUAGCAGUGAAAUGCGUAGAGAUGUGGAGGAAUACCGAUGGCGAAGGCAGCCCCCCUGGGGCCAAUACUGACGCUCAUGCACGAAAGCGUGGGGGAGCAAACAGGAUUAGAUACCCCUGGUAGUCCACGCCCUAAACGAUGUCAACUAGUUGUUGGGGGAUUUCAUUUCCUUAGUAACGUAGCUAACGCGUGAAGUUGACCGCCUGGGGAGUAC